CUUGGCGACCAUAGCGUUUUGGACCCACCUGACUCCAUUCCGAACUCAGAAGUGAAACGAAAUAGCGCCGAUGGUAGUGUGGGGUCCGAAGCAAGAACAGAAUUGAAUGUGUAGAGA
rnacentral:rRNA from 1 species